GUCCAGACUCCUACGGGAGGCAGCAGUGGGGAAUAUUGCACAAUGGGGGAAACCCUGAUGCAGCGACGCCGCGUGAGCGAUGAAGUAUUUCGGUACGUAAAGCUCUAUCAGCAGGGAAGAAGAUGACGGUACCUGACUAAGAAGCCCCGGCUAACUACGUGCCAGCAGCCGCGGUAAUACGUAGGGGGCAAGCGUUAUCCGGAUUUACUGGGUGUAAAGGGAGCGUAGACGGCGAUGCAAGCCAGAUGUGAAAGCCCGGGGCUCAACCCCGGGACUGCAUUUGGAACUGUGUGGCUGGAGUGUCGGAGAGGCAGGCGGAAUUCCUAGUGUAGCGGUGAAAUGCGUAGAUAUUAGGAGGAACACCAGUGGCGAAGGCGGCCUGCUGGACGAUGACUGACGUUGAGGCUCGAAAGCGUGGGGAGCAAACAGGAUUAGAUACCCCUGUAA
rnacentral:rRNA from 1 species